GCCCGGGUAGCUCAGUGGUUGAGCGUCUGCCUUUGGCUCAGGUCGUGACCCCAGGGUGCUGGGAUCAAGUCCCACAUCGGGCU
rnacentral:tRNA from 1 species